ACUCUUGAAAACAACCCCUUUUGUCGAUAAUACCGUGUCAUUCAAUUUUUUCACACUUUGUUUUGUCCGAACACUUCCUAAAAUUUGGAGACUUGGAUUCACCAUAUGACCCAAAUGUCAAAAUGACGAAGAUGUCGAAAACACCCAAAACACCAACAGCCAACACCACGCGGUAUCGUUCCAGUUUUAAUUAUUAAAAUUUUCAUUAAUACUUUUUUCUUUCUUUUCAGCUUUUUGUUGCAGGUAUGGCCCCCAUGCUGAGAUGCAGGAAACAUUAAAUUCUUUCAAUAGAGGCAAGUAUUCCCGAGCGUUUAUUUGGUCUUCUUAUGGUGGAGAAUAUUGUUUCCUGUUUCCUUUCACAUGUGGGGCUUUCGAUCAGUGUGGGCAACGGAUUGAUGGCAUGACAAUCCAGUUGUCCACCCAUAUUUUAUAAAGGGUGUAACGACAAACCAUUACACCCCAACGAACCAAAAAAAAAGCAAGCAAAACGGCAUGUGGGCAUGGCUAAACAUACUUGACACUAUGUUUACCCCCUUUUCAGUGCCCAGGUGUCUCCAUUAUUUACUCCCCCAUAAAAGAAAACAAAAAAAAAAACUUAGUGAACACGGCAGGUCACGAGAGGCAUUACAGUGGCCUGCCCAUCCGGGAGUGUUCAUUAUAGCUAUCGCUGGCUUCCCCAACUCUAUCGCAUACUGGAAGCUAGUGGUAUUUCAUGGUUGGUGGCCACCAUGUAGGCGAAAAAGCCCUUCCACGCAAAAAUUUUGUUUGUUUACAAGGCCCGCAACAAAACUCCAGGGCUGACAAGGUCCGAAGGCAGGACUGGUGUUUUUUUACAGGUCAGUCGACUGGAUAAAAAAAAUUGGAACAGAAAUCUGGUCACUCAUAGCCGAAUAAUUCGGAAGAUUACGAGGUUUUUUGGAGAGGAGUGGUGUGUGCGGUUUCAGGCUAUUGUGGCCUUUAUGGAAAUGAUGGAUCAAUCAAACACUAACAAUAAAAAAACAACAAUUUAAUACGUGCACUAUAGCGCCUCCCACCGAAGACGUUACAGCUUUUCCAGAUCAUCUAAACGGAUACAUCUGUCCUCUGGUUAAAUCCAGAGUGGAUACCCUGUUAAUGAAUCUGUGUCACUAUUAAAUUUCAAACGGAUACUAUUCCCUGCUAUCUAUCCAAGAUAAUUUGUGCGAAACCGCUUAACCUUCUGAUCAGCGGGUCACAACCUAUCUUGUGGUCUAUUUCCAAGUGUCUCGAUGGAAUACACCUCCUAACUUCUACAAACCCUAUGGUUUCUUUUGUUUGGGCGCCAUAUGGUGAAUCCAAGUCUCCAAAUUUUAGGAAGUGUUCGGACAACCGAAAGAUCCGUGUCGGCAAAACAAAGUGUGAAAAAAAUUGAAUGACACGGUAUUAUCGACAAAAGGGGUUGUUUUUAAGAGUGAAAGUUACUUAAAAAAAGGUUCGGAGAAAAUUGGAUUUCAGAAUGUUGCAAAGGGUUUGUUGCAGAUAAACCUAGAGGGGGACGACUGGUUUUAGGAAAAAAAGGGACAAAUCUUGAGGGCUAGGAAAAUGGCUUGUAAUGGAAAGGAGCCAUUUUUGUUCCCGAACCUAUAAAAGGUAGUACUGAUGGGAAAAAAGAUUAGUUAUUUAGUGGUGUUGAGCUAAUAAGCCUUUUUUAAGCAUAUAAUCGAAAUAUAUUGACAUUUUAAAUUGUGAAAAAAUCUUUUGUUUUGUGAAAAGAAAAAUAAAAAUAAACGUGUAAUUGGUAACUAGGUAAAAAUAUUUAAAUUAAAAAAAAUUAAAUGUGCAAACACAUUAAUAAUUAUGAUAUAUUAGGUGACUGUGAGGGAGGAGAGAACAAGCCUUAAGUGUCAAAGGUUAAUUAAACCGUUUCUUAAAUAUACUCCGACAAACAAAUAUGGUCGGAUUCGGGUACAGACAGCGAUAUCUUGUGGGCAAUAUUACCAUUAACACCACUGACCAACAUUCGUAAUUAACGUGGUAAGUCAACUGUACCCAACAAUAUAGUGUCACAAGAGUACCAUCUAUGGGUGAACUGACACAUUAAAUUAAAUCUCAACUCGUCAGAUCAAAGCUCAGCACCCAGAAUAAUACCCAAUAUACUUCCAACUUUGAUUUUAUGCUGUGAAGUCUCCAACCUGUUUAUUAACGUCACAGUGUUCCGGGAUUACGUAUAAACCUCUAAUUAUUUAAGUAAUUCCAACCCAACGAAUGCUUAUUCUGACUAAUGUUAAAAAGUUGCGGAUGUGACGAAGUAUUGUUAGACUUCAUCAGGAUUUGAAUGGUCGUAGAGGUGACCCUGGAGUAUCAGACCUAUUGACAAUUACAAACACAUACAACACAUAAACACAUCACGAAUUUUAUUAAAUUUUUCAACCGACAACCAAUUUUCAUAUUUUUAAGUUCUUUUUAUUUAUUCCUCUAUGUGUCUUUAUUAUUUAUUUUAAAUUUAUUUGUGUGAUUUACUGUUAGAGUUAGGUAUGUCAACUUAAAUGUUUUAUUGAGUUUUUAUUUGGAC